UAACAGUUUUGGGGCUGUGUCCCCAUGCCUCAGUCAUGUGCUAUCCUUAGCUGCAGUCUUACACUCAUUUACCUCAGUGGGACUUAUAUCUGAUGACGUAUAUAGGAUGGCACCGUGCGUUUACAGUAAGCAUACAUUUUAGAAAGCAAAUUACGGAAGAGUACAAAAGCAGAAACAAAUUCAAAGCAACACACACAAAAAAGCCAGCAGAGAUUUUAAAAAUAGGGCAUAUUGGGCCUAUCCAGAAGGAGGACUCACCUCAGACUCAUGGACCUCAACCGUUUCUGUCAUGAGGAGGAGAGGCAGUCAAGCAAGGAAUGGAGCCAUUUGGUAGCUGUGCUGUGUUCUCAUUCCUGAGAAUACAGUAUUCAAAUAUGCUUCUUCGUUGUAGUUUUUUUUGGGGGGAGGUUGCUUCUGUUGGGGGUCAAGAAUCUCCUUAGCUACAUCUCAAAUGUCAUGGGAUGGAAAUCACCGGUGGCUUUUCUCCAUGAUGCUUCCUUUACUGAAAAUGGCAGCCAGGCUACAAUCUCCAACAAGAAAGCAGAAGAGGACCAUCUGGAGCUUCCCCCUGCCCCCAGGGAGAAAAGUUUGAGCAGCUUCCAUGUGAGAGUCGUCCUUUUGAAAGCUGUGAGUCACAGUGACAUUACCAUGGGGCAUGUUCUCUAAGUUACUUGCAAAUAUUUUAUUGACAGGGGGAUUCUUUCAUUAUUCUCCUCUACUUCCUUUCCCACAACUUCAUUACAAAAAAGUUUGCACUAUUGAUAGCCUGUUCAAACACAUGAAUAAACUGUGUUUUUGCCUCA
rnacentral:lncRNA from 1 species